AUUGAACGCUGGCGGCAGGCCUAACACAUGCAAGUCGAACGAGUGGCGGACGGGUGAGUAAUGUCUGGGAAACUGCCUGAUGGAGGGGGAUAACUACUGGAAACGGUAGCUAAUACCGCAUACCAUCGGAUGUGCCCAGAUGGGAUUAGCUAGUAGGUGGGGUAAAGGCUCACCUAGGCGACGAUCCCUAGCUGGUAUAAGAGGAUGACCAUCAACACUGGGACUGAGACACGGCCCAGACUCCUACGGGAGGCAGCAGUGGGGAAUAUUGCACAAUGGGCGGAAGCCUGAUGCAGCCAUGCCGCGUGUAUGAAGAAGUCCUUCGGGUUGUAAAGUACUUUCAGCGGGGAGGCGUUACCCGCAGAAGAAGCACCGGCUAACUCCGUGCCAGCCGCCGCGGUAAUUC
rnacentral:rRNA from 1 species